GGCCUUGACAUACUAAGAACUUUCCAGAGAUGGAUUGGUGCCUUCGGGAACUUAGAUACAGGUGCUGCAUGGCUGUCGUCAGCUCGUGUCGUGAGAUGUUGGGUUAAGUCCGCAACGAGCGCAACCCUUUUCCUUAUUUGCCAGCGGGUCAUGCCGGGAACUUUAAGGAUACCGCCAGUGACAAACUGGAGGAAGGCGGGGACGACGUCAAGUCAUCAUGGCCCUUACGGCCAGGGCUACACACGUGCUACAAUGGUCGGUACAAAGGGUUGCUACCUCGCGAGAGGAUGCUAAUCUCAAAAAGCCGAUCGUAGUCCGGAUCGCAGUCUGCAACUCGACUGCGUGAAGUCGGAAUCGCUAGUAAUCGCGGAUCAGAAUGCCGCGGUGAAUACGUUCCCGGGCCUUGUACACACCGCCCGUCACACCAUGGGAGUUUGUUGCACCAGAAGUAGGUAGUCUAACCGCAAGGAGGACGCUUACCACGGUGUGGCCGAUGACUGGGGUGAAGUCGUAACAAGGUAGGCGUAGAUGA
rnacentral:rRNA from 1 species